rnacentral:rRNA from 1 species
UAACACGUGAGGAACUUGCCCAUCGGCGGGGGAUAGCCGGCCCAACGGCCGGGUAAUACCGCGUACGACCUUCGGGGGGCAUCCCCUGGAGGUGAAAGCAGCAAUGCACCGAUGGAGAGCCUCGCGGCCUAUCAGCUAGUUGGUGAGGUAACGGCUCACCAAGGCGACGACGGGUAGCUGGUCUGAGAGGAUGAUCAGCCACAUUGGGACUGAGACACGGCCCAGACUCCUACGGGAGGCAGCAGUGGGGAAUCUUGCGCAAUGGGCGAAAGCCUGACGCAGCGACGCCGCGUGCGGGAUGACGGCCUUCGGGUUGUAAACCGCUGUCGGGAGGGACGAAGCUCUGACGGUACCUCCAAAGGAAGCACCGGCUAACUCUGUGCCAGCAGCCGCGGUAAUACAGAGGGUGCGAGCGUUGUCCGGAAUCACUGGACGUAAAGGGCGCGUAGGCGGCCCGGUAAGUCGGGGGUGAAACGCUGUGGCUCAACCGCANCACGGCCUUCGAGACUGCCAGGCUUGAGCACGGUAGAGGCUGGUGGAAUUCC